ensembl:Mt_tRNA
AGCCCCGAGGUGAUUGUCAUGUUGAAUUGCAAAUUCGAAGGAGCAGCUUUAAGGCCUGCCGGGGCUU